rfam:Tenacibaculum mesophilum strain DSM 13764 genome assembly, contig: Ga0131220_101
UGGGCGACAACCGAAAAGCCUAAUUAUAAACAGAGUAGGUA